GUUCUUGAUUGAGAUUUCGGUGUGUUUUUCAUUUAUUGUGGUUCUUGUUUUGAUUGCUCUUUGAAUUCGUUUUGCAUCACGUUACGUCAAAAAAAAAAAAUCGAAGAGAAUUGUCCUUAAAAAAUCUGAUUCGUUUGGUUUGGUUCUUGUCUUGAAUUGCUACUUGAAUCUUUAUUUUUCGUUCAUGGUUAAGUCUUGAAAGGACUAAAGAGAAUACGAGUGGAAAAAAAAGGCCGAGCGUGUGAGAAUAUGAAGUAGGGUAAAAGCCAAAAAUUAUUGAGGCGCAACACGAAAGAAAUGCGUGUAUCAUCCUUCGAGUGAAACACGUAGGGAGUGUAGUGGAGGUUCUUCUCAUAUUAAUUCUAACCUUGUUUUGCAGAUCUCCUUACAUGUCUCAAAUCAAGAGAAAAACACAAGCGAAGAGUUCCACCACAAACUGUUCUGAAUCUACAAAUGCAAGCAUUAAUGGGAGAGAUGAUACGAUGAUUAAGGGCGAGUUUAGAGCAUAUACAUGAGAGGUUGGAUAUAGUAGAAGAGUGAACACAACAGGGCAGCCACACGUUGCUCCAAAUGUCCUAGGAAGGGUAGAUUGCAUUAAAGAGAAGUUGAAGAUUUGGAUGAGUUUGAAGGGGACGGUGUAGAGGAGGAGUUGAUAGAUGCAGUGGGCAGUCAUAGGAGAUAUGGCAGGGAUAAGAGCUAGAACUUCGGUUGACACAACUGUGGGAUGUAUCAAGAUGAAGAUUCCUGCUUUUCAAGGAAAGAGUAUCCCGAAGCAUACCUCGAGUGGGAAAAGAAGAUGGAGUUGAUUUUCGAUUGUCACAAUUACUCAGAAUUAAAGAAGGUAAAGCUUGCCGCAAUCAAAUUUACUGAUUAUGCUAUUGUGUGGUGGGAUCAAUUUUGCAUCAAUACGAGGCGGAAUGGAGAACAUCGUAUUAAAACUUGGGAUGAGAUGAAAAGAGUCAUGAGACGACGAUUUGUACCAAGUCACUACUACCGAGAUCUUCUACUUAAAACUGCAAGGCCUCUAUCAAGGUAACCGGAGCUGUUGACGAGUAAUUAUAAGAGAUAGAGAUGGAGAUGGCUAUGAUUAGAGCCAAUGUGGAGGAGGAAUCGAGAGUCGACAAUGACUAGAUUUUUGAAUGCGUUUGAACAAGAGAUUGCUAACACGAUCGAGAUACACCAUUAUGUGGAAUUAGAAGAUUUGGUGCAUAUGGCAAUCAAGGUGGAGAGGCAACUCAAGAAAGGUGGUACCGGCCAAAACCAGUCACACAAACUUUUAGUACAGCACCUUGGAGGUCGAAUUAAACCCAAAGAAAGAGAAAAGCUCCUUCCAAUUCUAAUGCCACUCUGAGCCCAAAAAUAUCACAACCAACACCGCUAUCAAGGCAAAACCCCGCCUCUACCUCAACUCAUUCUAGUGAGAUUAAAUGCUUCAAAUGUUCCGGGAAGAGGAUACACAUAGCUAGCCAAUGUCCAAACAAGGAUCUGGUGAUCCGGGAGCAUGAUGAUUUGAAUCCGAGGAUGAGCCUGAUUGUGAUGAGAUGCCACCUUUGGAGGAUACUCUAUGGGAGAUGAGGAGUUUGGGGCAGAUCAUGCGAGAUGCCUUGGGUUAAGUCGGCGCGACAGCCUAAGCUUGCAAGUUAAGAGGAAAGAAAUCCACGCUAGAGAGCAUUUUUCACACUCGUUGUCACGUUAAAGAUCAGGUCUGUUAGUGUUUAUUGUGGAUGGUGGUAGCUGCAACUAAUGUCGCUAGUACUUCGAUGGUUGAAAAACUAGGGCUUACGACACUUAAAAGCACCCUCGCCCAUAUAAAUUGCAAUGGCUAAUGAAUAGUGGUGAAACUGGAGGGUUACAAACAAGUUGUUGUACCAUUUCGAAUUGGUAAAUAUGAAGACGAGGGGUUGUGCGUGUAGUACCAAGGCAAGAUGGGCAUCUUGCUCCUAGGAAGGGACCGUGGCAAUUUGAUCGCGGCGUGUACAGCAGAGGUUUUUAGCCAACAAAUACACGUUCAUGUGCAAUCAAAGACCAUCACUCUAGUUCCGAUGACAACCAAAAUCAAGUCUAUGAUGAUCAAGUGGGGUUACAAAAAAUUAAGUGAUAAAAGAAUUUGAGAGAGUCUGAAAAGAAUUGAGAGUGACAUGAAUAGUGAGACUUUAGAGAGAAAACAAAAAAAAUUCUAUGCAACACAAUGAGAAGUUACACAGAGAGUAUUAAUUUUCAAGCGGCCAAUGGAUUGUACUCAUGGUGCAAGAAAGUUUUUUUUAAACGCUAAACCAGCUUGAUUCUCCUUUGCCUCAGUGUUCGUUAUUUUCUCUCUUGUAGGGUUUGAGGGAUUGUUUCCUGAGGAGGUACCGACAUGUGUUUUACCCCCGUCCGGGGAAUUGAACACAAAUCGAAUUUGUUCCAGGAGCAUCAAUUCUGAACGCCCAGCAUAUAAGGAGCAAUCCGGAGGAAAAAAAGAACUUCAAAGGCAAGUUGAAGAAUUGAGGGAAAGUAUACG
rnacentral:lncRNA from 1 species